rnacentral:lncRNA from 1 species
UUUUGUUUUUUAUCUUUUAAAUUUAUAUUUGUUUUUUCUUAUUUUCUUAUUACAAGUUUCUUUGACAUUAAAAGAGGAAGAAUAAUAAGAAAGAAACAUAAACCCCUUGAGUUUAGUCGAAUUAAAUUUUGUAAUUUAAAAACUAUCGUAAUUUUAACUCAUGCUUCAAAAACGGUUGAAAAUAUUUACUUAUGAGUUCGUGUAAUUGUUAAAGGAGUGAGGAAAAAUAUUUUUCAAUCUAAGAUUUUAGUUUCUAAUCAAUUCUUAAAAGUUUUACUUAUGUUUGAAUUUAAUUCCUAGGUUUUAAAUUUCCUAAAUUUAAAAAAAUUUAAAACAGUAGAUAACUCAAAAUCAAAUUCGAACAGCAACAAUAUGAAAUUGUGGAAAAAAUAUAUUUUGAAAAAAAAAAGAAUUUUAAUACAAUGGUUUGAACUAAUAAAUAAUAUUUUCAUUAAUCCAUAUAAAUAGAAGAACUUUUAAAAAAUAUAAUAAAACGUUAAAAUAUUUAAAUCAAUUUGUGAAAAAAGACCACUUGUCCGAAAUGAAAAAUCUAAAAAAUGUAUAUUUUGUAAAUAUGGUUUAAACUUGGUUAUUCUUUUUUAUCUUUUAGAUUUGGGUAUACAGUUUUUUCAAAAUAAUAGUUUAAAUUUGGUUAUGAUACAAACACAUUUAGAUUUGAUUAUUUAAAUUUGGGUUGUCAAAUCUAAACGAUUUUUUAAAAAAAAAUUGGUAAAUUAAACGAAUUUGGAUAGUUUUCCAAAUAUAUCACGCGACUUCUCAAAUAUAUUAGGCUGUUCCUCACAUAUAUUUGGUAGAAAUGAAUAACCAAAUCAAAACGACGGUGUGUCAAAUCUAAACGAUCAGGAUGCCAAUUAAUCACAUAAUAUUUUUUGUAUUUUCCAUCGUGGAUCUAUGUGCUUCUUUCAUUUUUGAAAUUGUUUUAAUGUGUGUAAAUAUUUGGCCGAUUUGAUACAUAUUAUUUGACCAUUGAGUUUUUAAUAAUAGAUACAUUAAGUUUUUAUAUUUUUUAAUUUUACCCUUUUAACUCUCAAUUUUUAAAAUAGAUUUAAAACAUUCCUACCGUAUUUCUUUCUUUAUAUUUUAAAUUAGAAAAUAUUUUUUAAAAAAUUCAAAGUAUCAUUUAUUAUAUAAAAAAUAAUAAUAUACCAACCAAAAAAAUAUUUGGAAAACUUGUAAACCAAAUGCAAAUAUUCUUUGAAAAAAAAUUAUAUUAAAAGAACAAUUUGUCUCGUUUGAUUCUUUAGGACAAGUUUGGCGAUUCAGAUAGAUGAAGGAAGAGGUUGAUUGGAUUGACUAUCUUAAACGUGAUUUCUAAUAACCUAGUUCUUAAAUUUUUGGAUCGAGAUAAGUUGAACGGUAGGAUUAUGUAUUAAUUUAAAUUAUUUACAACACUAACUAAUAAUUAAAAAAUAUCAGUAAAUACUAAUAAUUCACUUAUCAAACAUCAAUCUUGAAACGAAAAAGUAUUAAAAUUUACAAAUCAUCAUACUAUAGAACAUCAAACAUUAAAGAAAGAAAUAAUUAAUAUAUGUAGUUUGAGUCAGGUAGAGUUAACUUUCAUUCUAAUAUCCAAUCUGACGAAAAAAAACAAAAAACAAAAUAAAUCCUCAAGAGACGUUUGGAAUAAGGAUUGUGUAUUGAUUAUAAUAACCACCUCUCGUUUUAAUAAAUACCAUUUGAAAGUUGAAACUUAUCAAUUAGCUACAAUAAACAUUAUUUCAAAACAACUAACUUUGUUACAAUAUUAUAUUUACCGUAAUUUGCUUACGUUUUUGCUAUUUUACACUCCUCAUUUUUUUUAUUAUUUAUUACAGUAUCUAUUAUUUAUUUUUCAAACUAAAAGAGUUUAGACCUCAAACACAUAUGAUUAUAAUCCAAAUUAAAAUAAUCCACGCCCCAAACCUAAACUAUAAUAACUAAAUUAUGUUAACUAAUUUUCUACCUUAAACGUUUCUUUAUAUAGUGUUGUUCCGGUUGAUCAACACUCCCUAAUUUCAUUCCGUAGAUGUUUAGGACAAAUAAUUUGGAGUUAGCUAGUGCGAGUUAACGCCAAACACCUCUUAGGGGCAUUAUUGAUCCCUUAGUUAAUUUUUCUUAUUAAAAAAAGUUGUGCGGUUGAUUAUGUAUGAAAAAAAAUGUUUUUCAAGAAUACAUUUUUUUAUAAAUAUUUUGUUUAAAAUGUGUUUAAAGUUUAAACAGUUAAAUGUUUGGUUAAAUUUCUAUUAUAAGUGUUUAUAAAUAUAAUUUUCUCAAAUUAUGGUUGAAUGUUUUCUUUAAAUUGAUUAUUUUUCUAUCUUAAUUUUAAAAAAUGCAUUUGAAAAAGUUACCAAACAUUUUAAUUUUUUUAAAAUAAUUUUUUUUCAAAUUUAAAUAUUUUAAAAGACAAUCCAAACACACUUUAAAUUAAACUAUACAAUAGUAAUGUCGCAUAUUUAAAAGCAUGUGUUGGCGUGUUGUUCUGGCUGUGUUUAGAAUAUCUUCCUAGGAAAAGAGAUACUUUAUAACUUUACACAAUAUAUUUGAUUGUUUGUAUUAAAAUGGAGCAUUCAAAUUUAGUGUCACACACAAAAGGUAUUAUAUAUGCUAUAAAGUUUAUAGUUUAUUCUCAGAAAGAACAUUUUCUUUUCUUUUCCUGUGUAGAUCUACAUUAUUUAUUUUUAGGUUUCUUACACUGUCUCAUAAAAUAAAUUUAAAGAUAUUGUCAAUCUCGUGACAACUUUAACAUAUAAAACAUAACAAAAUAUUUAAAUUAUUUACAAAAUAUAGUAGAAUUUUUCAAAUAUUAUGAUAUAUUUUGUUUUGCUAUAUUUUAUAAAUAAUUUUUUUUCUUCUAUUUAUAACAAUUAAUUAAAGAAACUUAAUGAAUCUAAUUAUUUAAUAAUUACUUACAUAUCCUAAUAUAUUUUUAACGAUGCAUAUAUAUAGUCAUUUUAAAACUCUAGGUGUAUCAAGGAUAAAUAAAUCAAUAAAUACUUUUUAAAAUUAACGAAACUUCUCAUUGAUAUUUUCAUCCAUGUCUACGUAAAAUUGAUUAACAUUAAUUUCCAUUGAUAUACAAAUUCUAACUUUUUGACGCCACAAUGAUAUAGAUUUAAUAAUGGACAGAUGAUUUUGUGGAGACUAUUUCCAUAAAAUUCAAAAAGUUAUGUUCAAUAUCACAAACACUAGAGUUUAUGUAAAAGAAAAGGCAUAAAAGUUUCUAUUUUAGAAAAUAAUCAUAAUAACAACAAUAGUUUGAAGUGAGAGUAUGAGAUUUAAUUGCAUCUAAUCAUAUUACUGUAAAAAUAACAUGUGAAGAUAUCUAAUUAAGUAGACAUCGAAAAAAUAACGUAACAUAUUUGCAAAUUUUUCUUUUAAAACAAAAUUAUACGUUUGUGCUAGAUUUAGAAUAAAUUAAGAUAUGUUUUUGUAAAAGAAAGGUUAAAAUAUAGCUAAAACUCAGCAAACAUUUUAAAUUCUAUAAUUUUUUUACAUCAUCCUUAAAAAGUAUACUAAGAAUAAAAGAGAGAUAUAAUUAUAAAGUUAGAGCAUAAUAAAAUGGAAUGUGUGAUUGAUUUCUACAAUUGGAACAAUUCUUGGAAUUAUUUAUUAGGGGAGAUGCCAUGGGGAGGUUGGAGCAAAAUAGACUUCAUUAUUAAAGCCAUGAAUAUUUGGCAAUGGUGGAUUGCUUUUAUGCUUGUUGGAUUCUCUUUGAUGUUAUUUAUUAUUUGUGAAACAAAAAAAGAUAGGAAAUUGUUCUUUGCUGGAAAGCAAAAAAGUGCUUUGCAACCAUAGGAGACAUAGUACUAUUGAUGACACAUACAUUCAUUAGCUACACAACAAUUAAAAAAAAAAAAAUGAUCCAAAACCUAACAACGCAUACAUAAUUAAAGAAAAAAAAAUGUCUGAAGGAGAAGUGUCUCUAUGGUAUCAUUUGGAAGAGAAGCACUGGGUUACUUUGAACAACAAGUAAAAAUCUUUAGAUUGAACAUCAAAACUAAUCACUGAUCAAAUUAAAGUAAGAUUUGUAUUCCAAUAUAAAAUUCUAUUAGAACGUAUUCCCCGCAAAAGCAUGUAUACACCCAAAUAGCUUUACUAAAGAAACACUUGGAGAAUAAAUAAUCCCUAGACUCAACGUCACCAAUACAUAGAUGACAAUUACUAGGAAUAUUAGAACAUCACUGGCUCACAUGAUCAUGAGUCUUUAAAUGAUUUUGAAUAGCUAGCCAUGAAAUGAAAGAAUGUUGGGAAACAUCGCUAUCAAACUAGAGGGGACUGAACCAUGGGGUGCCUAGGGCGAAAAGAUUUUCAGACACUAGUCAUCCAAAACACACACUAGAAGAUUGACAAGAGAGCAAUCCUUCCAACCAACUUAAAUCUAAUCAAAUAUUGGAAUUAUUGAGAGAGUAGAGAAGUCAAUAAGUUCUCUAAAACUAGAAGGUUAGUCCCAAGACUCAUCUGUGCAUAAGAACUCACCCACUCAAUUAUGAAGAGAACACACCAAUCUACAUCCUCAAUUUUGAACUGUUGAAGGCUAGGGUCACCUAAGAACCAAGGGUCAUGCAAAACCAAACAAACGAUAUCCAUGCUCGUGACCACUAUGAUGUUUUAAGAGGAAAUCAAAAGUGAAUGUUAAACAUCAAAACACUUAAAAAGAUGUUUUUCUUAAAGUGAGUAUUUGUUGGAAAAACUUCUCAAUACUGUUGUAGGAAUAAGUAGAUAAAAAAUAAUACAAAUAAGAAAAAUACAAGAAUUUACACAAUAAAAUUAAUUAACAAAUGUUUAGAGAUCGUUUUUAUAGUGAUAAAAUAAUUAUCAGUAUGAACUUGUUUAAGCAUAUUUAGAAGGAGAAUAGGAAGAUUGUCUUUUGUGAAAACAUUCUAAAUAGAUCAAUAAGUGUUAGUGGUUUGAAUUGAAGUUCAUUUGAUACUAUAUGAAAGACAAUUAUUCUUUACGUAAAAGUUAACGAGUCUCUUCAUAAUAUGUGAAACUAUUUGUAGGGAGUGAAAAUAUCAAUUUAUAGUGCACUAUUCAAUUUGUUGUAUAAUUUAAAAAUGAUUAAAAUAAUAACUUAAAAGUUCUAAAACGUGGAGAGAUUGCGUCCAUGAAUUAUAAAAAUGUAAUAACAAUAACAAACCCUCGUUUGAUUGGUGUAAAUGGUUGGUAGAAUAACAAUCAUUUUCAAUUAUCUAUAUAUUGCCAAGUUAUAAUAAGUUAAAUAAUAUUAGUUGAAAUUAGUGAAGUUGUUUUUUUUAUAAAGAAACAAAGUUCAUUUAGCUAUGUUUGAUUGUUGGGUUUAGUUGGAAUUUUUUAAGUCCACAAAGGACAAAGCAAAUGAUUCUCUCAAACUCCUCUUUUUAAUACACUGAAAAUAUAUAAUAAAAUAGAUUUUAUUGGCUUUACUUUUUCUUUUUCUAAUUAUAAAAAAUAACAAAGUAGGCAAAAAAGAAAAAAAAACCUUUUAAUUAUUUCUAAAUAAUAUUUUCAAAAAUUAAAAAAUAAAUACAAUCAAUUUUAAUUUCUUAAAAUGUUUCAAUAAAAAUCUUGAUAGCAUGCAUGGAUAUGCCUUAACAAGUUAUUAAUUGUUUACGAUAAUUAUAUUCAUAUUAAUUAGCAACACAUUUGGUUGCUUAUUUAUUAUAGUUUUAAUUUUCUUCAUAGUUUCAUUUCAUUUUACACAUAGAUAGAUGUCAAUCUUAUAAAAUGUAAAAAUGUAUCGACAUGAUACAACAAUUUAAUACCAUAAAUACGUGUAUAACUCUUUCAAUAACAAAAAUUUCAAUACUUUGUUUGCUCUCUAUAUUAAACCAACAUAAAGUUUACUAAACAUUAUUAUUAUUUUAAAAUGUAAAAUUGUAAGAAACAAACAAACUUUGGAUGAAAAAAGCAAAGGGAAGAUAGUGAAAAAUCAUUUUCAAACUUUAUUUUAUAUUAGUAUAUUUUUUACCUUUUAAUUACUUUUAUGGGAAGAAAGGGCCAAAGAAAGAAAUAGUAAAAAAAAAAAAGAGAGAGAAAGAAAAGAAAUGAGAAGGUGAAAAUUGAUUGAAAGGUGCGUACUUGUUUUAUGUAAUAAUAAUGAGAAUUUAAAACUGAAUGACCAAACCAAAUAGGGUAUAUAAAAAUGGAAUUAAUUGAGGUAAGUGCUCCAUUAGUAUUUGCAAGAGAGUUUUAUAAUUAUAAGAAAGGUUAGAUAUUGAUUCAAAUUAUUGCGGAGUCGGAUUUGUACAUAAACUUUAUCUUCGUUUACAAUUAUUAAUAAAUUAAUAGAUCUUGUUUAGGUGAGUUUUCUUUUUCUUUCUUUCCUUUUUGGGAGGACACAAAUAAUUAAUUAUAUUUCCCAUAUCCUAACUCUUUAUCUUUCUCCUCAAUCAUUCAUUUUUAUUAGUUUUCCCUUUUUACGAAAUCUUUGUUAUUUUGGUAGUUGAAUUUUUAAUCUGUUUUGAUCACGGUAUUUAUUUUUAAAAUAACUUACUUUGAUUUAUAUAGUUUUAAAAUAAUUGACAUGACUUUAUAUAUUUUGAUGAUUAUACUUUAGAUUCAUCGUAUUAAUAUAUACAAAAAUUGUGUGAGACUAAAUAUGAAUAUGAAGAGUUAUAAGAAAGUAUAAAUGAAAUGGUUGCAAAUAACAAAAUUGUUAAUAAUAUUUACAAAAUAUAAUAAAAUUAUAGAUUCAAAUCAUUAAUAAAUUUGUUAUAUUUAAAAAUAGUCUAAAUAGACGGUGAAAAUGGUAAUAUAUAAUAAAAACAUUUUAAAAAAAUUCUAUUAAGUUUUUUAACUUUAGAAAAAAAAGUCUAAUAUAUCUUCAUACUUUCAAUUUUGUUAAAAAAUAAUUAUUAACCUUGAUAUAUCUAAUUAGGUUAUCUAUUAACCUAUUCUAACAUACUUUUCUUAGCCAAUUAUUUACUUAACAUAAACUUAAAAUUUUAUGGUUUUAUUAGACAUUAAGUUCAAUUUUAUACUUAGAAUCAACUAUAGGAUUUUCUUGUGUUAAACUUGUUAAAAUUAAUAAUUCAAAGUUUAUGGGCAUUUAAACACAAAAAGAACCAUUCAAAUACCUAUGAGAAGUAUUAAAACAAAAAUAUAUGACUAUGACAUAAAUAUAUUGGUAUCUUAAAACUAAUUUUUUAGGUAAAAUUUAAUUGUUUUGAAGUAAAUACGAAGUUGAACAAAUUAUUCAAUGAGGCUGUCACAAUGUGUCUGUCUUAUAAUAAUCGUCGUGGGUGCAUAGAAGAAAAUACAUGCUGUUAACGAUGCGUUAGAUAUAAAUUUGAUAUACUUCUAUCUUUUUGCAUAUUGGGUGGGUAUAUUUGGAGUGAUUUCACCAAAUAAUUAGUCAUGAAUUGAUGAAAGAUUAUAACAUUUUUUAAAGGAAGAAAGUAAAUUGAUAAAGAAGAAAAUAAUGGUUGGACAAUAUUAUUGCCCUCUUACUCAAAAGCUGGUCCAAUUAAGCCCAGUGGGCCAGCCCAAGUGCCUUUUGUUUUCCUUUAAAUAUAUAUGUAUAAAAUGAUAGGUUGUGAGUAAAGCUGAUGGAUAAAAUAUUUUCUAUGGAUCCUUAUGAUAAAUAUAGUCGAUCAUAGUUAUUGUUAAUACAAAUAUAUAUUAUAUAAAAAUAGUUAUAGUCUAUAGUUAUGGUAGAAGUAACAAUUUAGUCUAUUAUUUGAUAAUUUAGCCAUGUGAAAAUGUAAUGGUUUUCUUUGUAUAAAUAAAUUACUUAGAGAAUAUAAUUUUAUAAAAUAAUCAUGUAUAAUAAAAUAGUAAAAUUUGGCAUUAAAUUUUGAUAAAUUUUGUUUAGGGUAAGAAUUGAAUGGUUAAAAAUACUAAAUUGUUAUAUAAGAUAUUGAGGGAAUAAAUUGUUAACUUUUUACAGAGUUCAGUUUAGAGGACCAACAUUAAUUUUUUAAUCCUAUCCUCCAGUAAUUUACAUAAAUUUUAUAAAAUUAUUUGUCUGUAUAACAAAAUAAGAAAAACUCAUGCGAUCUUUUUUUCAUAAAUUCUAUAUAUGUCUUUGUAAUUUAUAUCUUUUUCUGCCAUUUGUUAAUUUCGGGUCAUCUUGAUACAAUUAAGGCUAGAUCGAAUAACUAAAGGAGAAAUUUUCCAUUCGGGACAUCUCGGGACAAUGUAUGUCCGAGAUUGAAUAAAUUAAAGACAGUUAUUUCAUUCCGAACGUCUUAGCAUCACUAAGCCUACGAUACAAUAAGUGAAAGAGAAAUUCUUUCAUCCUGGGAGAUUGUAUACUCAAGAUCGAAUAAAUUAAAGACAGAAUUCGUUCAUUCAGUGCAUGAUAUAUUCAAUAUCGUGUAUCAAAAUCUACACAAUCAUGUAUUGAGCUGUAUGACCAAUGUUAAUUGAGAUAAUUUUGAUAUUUUUUUGGUUUUUAAAAUUGUUAUAGUAAAUAUUUUGGAGGUUUCUAUAUUUUUUUAAAAGUCCAUAUUUUUUAAGUGAGAACACAUGAUUUACCGCAGGCAAAUAUAAUAGAGUAAAGGGAGUACCCUCCUCGGAAGUAACUAUUUUUAAAAUUUUGUGUUUCCUCACAUCCUUAGUUAUCAACUCCCUCACCACUUCCUUUUUCUCUCCGCCACUAUCCGGUGCUUCAAUGGCGUUGACACUGAAUACACUUCCAUCUCUAAGAUUGUCCAGCAUCCAUGCCAAUAGAGUUCGAUUUCAAUCUUCUUUAUCGCCAGUUUCUGUUUCUUUUUCUAGUGAGUUUCACUCUCUAAUGCUUUACUGAUUUCUGCAAACAACCAAACCAAAUUGAAACGCGUUCAUAUCCCAUAGCCUUCGAAUUGAAGAAUGAGCGUUUUCAUUUAAGCCCUAUGUUACUUCCAUUGUCCUUCCAAUUUUCUUUUUCUUCUUCACGGAUUUCUCUGGCUUCCAUGUCGAUUUUGAGAUAUUAAGUGUUAGUUCUUAUUUCUACUGGUAACGACAAUUGUUCAUUGUUCUAGGAAGGAGGCUCUCGGUUGUUGCUGCUGAAACUGACGCGAAUGAAGGUACCUGUUGCUUUUUUUUUUUUUCUUUUUACAUAGUUUGGUUCUUUUUUUUUUUCUUUUUUUAUGUUGACCGGUGGAAUACUUUGACUCUCGGCAGUUUAGAUAAUUUCGAGAAAUUUGCAGAAUCGAUUUAAUUGGAGCUGUCGUAUUUACAUUUUUCUUAUUUGUUUUGAUCAGUUAAAUCUAAGGCGUCAGAUAAAGCGCCGGCAGGUGGUGGUUCGAGCUUCAACCAGCUUCUUGGAAUUAAAGGCGCUGCGCAAGAAACUGUGAGUUACCUUCAUGUUCUCAGCUUGUUUUUUAGGAAGAUUUGAAUGUAAGUCCUUAAUAAAUUCUUCAUGUGCACUUUAUGCAGAAUAAAUGGAAGAUUCGACUUCAAUUGACAAAGCCUGUUACAUGGCCGCCCUUGGUUUGGGGGGUAGUUUGUGGUGCUGCUGCUUCUGGUACUCAUUUUGUACAUACUGAGACACUAAAAUUGCAUAUGAAAAGUUGUUGAUGAACUACUAACACGUAUUACUAUCAACUUACUUCCUAGUCAUGAUGAAAAUUAGCGAGUUCUUCUCUUUUCAGAACUUUAAAAUCUAUUCUCGUGUUGUGUAUUGUAUGGUCAAAUGCAUCAGAUGGUGGUCAAAUGAUUGAUUACGCAUAUAGAUCAAAUGGGGACAGUACUAACUGAUCUUUAUUAUGCUUUAUUGAUUAGUUUCCCCAUCGAACUAUUGAAUAUGGCUUCAACGAUACAUUAUUUUUUUACAGGUAACUUCCAUUGGACUAUUGAGGAUGUGGCAAAAUCAAUUGCUUGCAUGCUUAUGUCUGGUCCAUUUCUCACUGGCUAUACGCAGGUGAGCUCUCUUUGAUGUAAAGCUUUCCUAUGACUCAUGAAAGUAUUCAAGCACAAAUAAGAUAGACACGGUACUUUGGUUUUUUAGACAAUCAAUGAUUGGUAUGAUCGAGAGAUUGAUGCAAUUAAUGAACCUUAUCGUCCAAUCCCUUCUGGUGCAAUAUCUGAGAAUGAGGUAUGAGUAAACCACUUGAUAUCCAUUGACAGAGGCAUAUAUGGUCCUUCCUUACCGGUUUCUUCCUUUCACAUAUUUGAUCAGGUUAUAACUCAAAUAUGGGUGUUGCUUCUAGGAGGACUUGGCUUGGCUGGUUUGUUAGAUGUGUGGGUAGGUUCAUAGAAUUUGUGGAACUCGUCUUUCAUGUCGACUGUUUUUCUUAAACUUCGUCCUUAUUCUUCUCAGGCAGGACACGACUUUCCUACAGUCUUUUACCUUGCUCUAGGUGGCUCUUUGUUAUCAUAUAUAUACUCUGCUCCACCUCUAAAGGUAACAAACAAAAGUUUAGUGUUUCUAAAUUGGAUCUUCUGGAUGCUAAGAACAUUUAUUUUGUGGUUGCAGCUAAAACAAAAUGGAUGGAUUGGAAAUUUUGCGCUUGGAGCUAGUUAUAUUAGUUUACCAUGGUGAGAAAUCCUGUGAUCUGUAGUUAUAGGUAAAUUGACAUGCAUUGUGAAGGAUAAAGUCAAUCAACCAUUUCAAUCUGUAAUUGACUGGUUGAUGAAGUCGAUUGUGUUUCAUAUGAAAAUUUGAAAACUUUCUUUGUGUUUAGUUUGCUUCAUCUGAAGUCAAUUUUCUUCUUUGUAGUGUUCACUCAUUUUUUGAAUUCCCUCCUACUUUUGAGCAUAUUGUUAUCCCAGAUAAAAGCUGAUCGAAAGAUGUAUCCUGUGUAUUGACCAUGAAAUCUAUUUGCCAUGAUUAACACUACCCGCACAAAUUUAUUACUUAUCCGCUUAUAAUGCACUUUGAAUGGGGCCUCGAGUGUUGAACUCAAGUCCUAUAUAUGGAACCAUCAAUCGAUGGCUAGUUUGCCCUUUGCGGCUAUCGGCAAUUUCUUUUCUGUGUAAAGUUUAUUGGAUUGUUCCAGGCUCCACAUUAAUCAUACUUAUCACAAAUUUCUCAUUCUUUAUAAUGCGAUAAGUUUGCCUUUUCCAGUAACAGCCAAUUUUCAAUCUCAGGUGGGCAGGUCAAGCUUUAUUUGGGACUCUCACUCCUGAUAUUAUCGUUCUCACACUCUUGUACAGCAUAGCUGGUGUAUGCUUCUCAAUUUAUUUUUGAGUUCCUAACUUCAAAAAAUCCAAUCCUAAUCCGACUUCUGCUUUGUCUUAAUCAGUUAGGAAUAGCCAUAGUAAAUGAUUUCAAAAGUGUUGAGGGCGAUAGAGCUUUAGGACUUCAGGUAUUUCAUUCUAAAACACACUUUUUGAUUACGUUAAAUUAGUUUAGGCCUUAUCAGGUUGUUUUUAUUCUGUUAUUCUAUAGUCAUCUUUUGUUAUUUACUGCCCUUACAGUCACUUCCAGUAGCUUUUGGUGCUGAAACUGCUAAAUGGAUUUGCGUUGGGGCUAUUGACAUAACUCAAUUAUCUGUUGCUGGUAAUUCAUUUAGUACUUUUUAUUCCUAAGGGAUUCUCUCUUUAGAACAAUGCGCAAGUUUAAAGCACACUAUAUCAUUUUCUGAUUGUACCGAGAAAAUAAAAAUACAAGUUGCUCGUUUCUUGGCUUCUGCCUUUCUGUAAUAUACAUUUUGAAGGUUCUUCACUUGUUUGGGCUUCAUCUUUUUGUACAUGCAUCAGUUCAAAUAAUCUUGUAACAAUUGUAUCCUAUCAUCCAAUAUCCGUACAUCUACAAGAUAUGUCUUCAACUCUCAACGAAGCAGUUAACUGAUAAGGACAAAUGUCCCAAAAGUUUGUAUGCAACAAAGAAAAUAUGUUAGGAUACUAACAAUAAUUUAGACUGAAAGGACUGUAUAAAUGGCUUAAACAGAGGCGGUACUCUGGUUUACUUUAUUUAUAUAUAAAGCCAAAUGAUCCAGAUUCACAAGAUGAAAAGAAAUAACAAGAAACAACAAGGAAAAAUGCAGAAAAGAUCAUACCAGCCUCUUGGUUUUAAGAGACCCUGGUGGCUGCUGUAGCCCUACCUCCUAAAAGUUAAAAAUACCCUAGCUACUCCAACCUAAUAAUCCUAUUUAUAGACUCACAUAUUCCUCAGCCCAGUGGGCCCUACCACUCAGAACGUCCUUCCAAUCAUUUCUCCAUAAUAAUUCCCUGUGCAGUUACUUUUCUACCCUUCCUCCUAUAAGUAUGGAUAAUUGGGGGUCUUACAAAAUAUUAAACAUUUGGCAUUCUGAUUGUUGGAAGGAAGAAUUGGUCGGUCUAUCCUUCGGUUCUCUUGCAAAAUAAUUCCUGUAUCUCAAUCAGAAAGAUGGCGUUCUUCGGCUAAAGUUCCAAAAACAUUUCUCUUAGCUUACUUCUAUGAACUUGCAUUAUUGUAGGAGACCACUUAUGGGACUUUGAUACUAAAAGCUAAAACUAUUAUCUUGCCAUGUUAGAUCAAAAGAAUUCUUAUUUGUUUGCAAUGUAGAUUGAGAAAUCACAAGCACUAUUAUAAAGUAUAAUGUAGAUGCAAGAGUUUGAUUUGGAAUUGGUUAAAGACUGUUCCCUUUAAUAUAUUUGAAAUGAAUGUGACUACUAAUAAUGUUCACUUAUUGCAGGUUAUCUGUUGGGAGCCGGCAAGCCGUAUUACGCAUUAGCACUGCUCGCUCUUAUUGGUCCCCAAGUUUUCUUCCAGGUAAAUACUUUAAAGAAUUGUCAUAUGGUCAGUCUUCUCUUGAGUAGGCAGGCGCUACUGAAAACUGAACAUAGUUAAGUACAACCUUACGUACUAUGUACAAAGGAACAUUCAGUAUAGUGAGCCCUAUAUAAUUUAGCAACUUAAAACAAAAGUAUGCGUGUCAGAAUGAUAACACUUUUUAAUAUGCAAGUCAGGUUACUAGUCUUUGCAAUAACGACAGGAUCGGAUCAACGGUAUAGUAAUGUGAGGUCUUAUUAUUUGUCGUUGCAAAUUCCGUUAGCGAUCUGGUCAACCAUGCAGUAAUUUGAGGUCUUAUUUCCAAUUGAAUAUUUGAUGCCGCUCGCUCUCUAUAUAUAUGUAAUUAUAAUUGGAUGGAUGUAAUUAUAAUUGGAUGGAUGUGUAUGCUUCGAUAAUCAGGCCUUAGCUGUACUUCCCUUUUAGUUGGAAAAAAAAACAUGAAUACUCUACUAAUCCAUAUUAUCAUAAUUCUUAAUAGUUCAAGUACUUCCUCAAGGACCCCGUCAAGUAUGAUGUCAAAUAUCAGGUACUCAAAUUCUUUCUCAAGGUGUAGAUUUACAUUUAUAGAAACUAGAGCUGUGAUGAAACAUUGAAACAUUAAAGUUCCCCAAGAAAUCAAAAGCCCAUGUCGACGCCAGACUGGCAAAUUUUGGGACACAAUUAUUCCACCUUAUGUUUGCAAUAACAUUUCAGGCCAGUGCGCAGCCAUUUCUUGUGCUAGGUCUGUUGGUCACUGCUUUAGCAACCAGCCACUGAACCCAACAUUGGAGAGAAUUAAGCGCACACCUAUGAAGCAUGCGAGACAAAUGCAAGGCCAGAGAAAGCAGGAAGCCAAGUCUUGUCACUCCCCCCCGACAGCAACUGGCUCAAUUCAGGUUAAAUUUUACCUUGUUUGGUAACAGCAGGUUUUGGAUUUCUACCAACAUGUUUCAAAGCUUUGAUUUAGGAUUGUAUCACUAUCAGUUCUUAGGUUAGGUUUGGUCUCCUAUUACACGUCAGUUCCUACCAUUGAUGUCUUCUUACUCCGGGAUGCAAUAGGUUCAUAAUGCAUACCUCUUAUUCCAUACAACCAACCAACCCUGUUUUGCUUGAGACAUUUACUCAUUUUGGGAAUGUUUCAUUUUAACCAUCCUCAAUAAAGAUAUGCAUAUCCAUAUCCCUUAUGUUUAGCCAUAUGUGGCAUUUGUAGGCAGAUACACUAGAAAAAGACCGACUUUAACUGCUCACUCAAGGCAGAAACAUCGAUAUACAGACCUGAAGUAGGCUAUAAAGCCUUGAAAUACAAUUAUUUAUUCUAGACACUUUUAGGGAAAGUAGAAACUAAAAAAACAAAAAAAAGAAACUAAAGAUGAAAAUGGAACAUAGAAGUUUAGAUUGAAGACACAUUGUGAAAGGGUGGUUUUUGUAUUUUUUAUUUAUUCCUGAACUUGGAUUCGUCAAUCUCAACACCUUCCUCAGCAGCACGUUCUCCUCCAGACAUACCUGUGUUGCUUAGCCCUCCUUUACGGCCCAUCUCUUGGUAUCCUUCGUGUCCCAGCUGCUCCUUCCUUGUUUGGCCCCCACGGCUCCGCCCUGCCAUCACCAUUCACAAUCAAACUAUCACUACUUUAGUCUUUAGUAUUGUUAUGAAUGAGUCGCUACUUCUCACUUUAGUGGUUGGAAUGAGUUUGAAAAGUAGAAGUUAUCACGAACUCGAUUUAACUGCAUUUUUGUUAAACAGGAUCUUGAACUUUCAAGAAAAAGAUGGUCUUGAACUUAUAACUUAUAGCAAGUCUAAAAACGGUUCAGUUUUUUGUUCCAAACAUUUUAAAAUGUGUUAUGGAUUUUUUAAUAAAAUUUUAUAGGGUAUACAGACACAUAUAUGAACAUAAAAUCAUAGUCUUAUUAUAACAUCUAGCUGACUCAUUAAAGACGUGAACUUAACAGCCAAGGUUGGAUGGAGGUGACUUAUAAGAUACAAAAUUAAAAGUUAAAUAACUAUUAGUUUAAACCGAGACAAAAAUCAAAUUCAAUAACAAUUGAAUUGAGUCCAUGAACUAACUCAAUCUCUAUUGUGUAAAUUAUAAUGAAAAACCAAAGAAAUCUUAUAAGAACUACGGAGACAUAAUAUUGACAAUAUUUGGUAAAAGUUAGUUAAAUUGUCAAAGUAUUAGAUUAACAAAAAACCAAGUUUGAAAAGUGGACAAGUGGGGAGGGCACACCUUCAGCAAGGUGCUCCUGAGCUUCAAGACUUUUGCCUCCGGUUCCACCGGGGAUGACAGUCUCCCCUUGCCUGGCCCUGGCGUCGAGUUUACCUCUUUCCUGCUCCGACGACAUCUCUUUUCCAAAUACUUAAGCUUUGACCAACAGAAUAUUCAAAUUUCUAUAUCCAUUUCUUCUUGUCCUUUUGGUUUAAAUAGAAUUUUACCACUCUUACCUCCCAGAAAGAAGGCAAAAAUGGACACUCUGGACUGUCUACGUGGCUGAUAGCGAAUUGUAGAACAUUCUCUGCCUGACACGUAGGUGCUUACUCAGUCAAAAUAUUUCUUCUAGUCUCCUUUUCGAUGACACGUGUUAAGAAAAAAGCGGUCCUAAAAUCCUACAUGCCCAUCCGCUUCGUACUACGAUAAGGUAUAAAAAUUUCGUACUUGUGGAUUUUAGAUUUUAGUGUGAAGUAUACGAAGAGAAAUGGUAUGGAUGUUUCCGUACUAAAAAUUGUCAAUUUUGUCCUCGAUUGAUAAUUAUUCUUAUAAGUCUGUUUAACUACACUUUUGUUUGAAUAUGAUGCCACAAAUCUAUAUGAUUGUGACUAUAUCUUGUUUGAAAUAAAACAUUAUAUAUCUGAUUUAAAAUAAAACAUUAUUUAAUAUGUUUUAAUUGGAUAUAAAUUAAUAUUAAAAUAAAAAAAUUGAUAAUGUAAAGAAGGCAUCGUCAUGUGUCGUCCCACUAGUCCCUACACGAAUCUGUCAGUGAAUAUAAGGUCUUUUAUAAGAAAAUUACUCGGAUGCGUAUGAUCAAUUAAUUACGUAUUGAUUGAAAUAUUUUUGUCUUUCAUACGGUAGUCAUCUAAGCUUUUCUUUUCUUAAACUAUUGCAUGGGUAAAUACUUAUGGAUUUGUUAUAUUUAAAAAAAAAAAACCCUUUUUUUUGUAGUUGAUUAAUAUAAAAUUAACUUAAAUUUCAGUCAAACACAAAUAUUAAAUAAAAACACCUAUCAAUUAAAGAAAAAAUGGUUUUAGCAAAAGAAAAAAAAACGAUUUGAUAGAAAUGAUUUUGACUUUUUUAACUCUUAGGGUGUGUUUGAAGGAAGGGUUAGGUUAUGGAGGAUUAAUGUCAUGAUAAAACUAGUUUUAUGAUAAACCUAAUGUUAUAAUAAUAUAUGUUUAGAGGAAAAGUCAUGUAUGAAGGGUUAUGGGGUGGUCAUGAUAAGAUGUGUUUGGAGAAGAGUCAUACAGGGAGUGUUAUGAAAUUUAUUUUUUAUACAUUUUUCUAAAAUUUGUAUUCUAAAUCCAACACAAAUUUUGUAUAUUUAAUUUACCAAAUUAUCUUAUUUUUGUAAAAUAAUUUUCAUUAUUUUUUCAAAUGUGACGCCUAUUUUUAACAUUUUUUUUUAUGUAACUAUUAUAUGAGAAUAAUUUAUUGAUUUUUUAAAAGAACUUUGUAUUAUAAAUCCAAUACACAGAUUUCGUAUAAUUAAUUUUUUAAAAUGUUUAUUUUCGUAAAACAUUUUUCAAUCAUUUUUUUUAAAAAUAUGACGUCAAUUUUUAAUUUUUGGACGUAAUUGUUAGGUGCAAAUAAAUUAUUAUUUUUUUAAAAAAAUGAUAUUCUAACUCCAAUACAUAAAUUUUGUAUAUUUAAUUUAUCAAAUCGUCAUGGUUUCGCAAAACAAUUUGCCUUAAUUUCUUUAAAUUCAACAUGAAAUUUUCAACAUUUUUUAAGUAAUCGGUUGAAUAAAUCACUGUUUUUCCUUUUAAAGAUAAAACAAUCUUAGUUUUCUUCUUACCUAAAUAUUAUGUUUUUUUUCUCUUUUUAAAUGACUCAAUAUUUAGUUUUUCCAUGGAACAACAAAAAGGAUAAAAAAAUUAUAAUGAACCAAUAAAAGAUAUAAAAAUAAGAAAGAAGAAAGUGAAAAAAAACUUACAUUUUAGAAAGUAUAAGCAUAAUUUAGUAAAAAAUUUAAAUCCAAAUAAAUUUUAAAUCAAAUCUCGCCAUUAAAUUAAUUUUUUAAAAGAAAAUUCUUAUACAUUUAAAAUCUAAAUACUUAAAAAAUAUAUAAUAUAUACAUAUAUUUGUUAUACAUGUUUAGGUUAUUUAAGAAUUCAAAACUUAUUUCAUUUAACAUUAAAUCGUUUUAUUGUUUUUGUUUUGAUUUUUAACAUUAAAUAGUUUUAUUAUUUUUGUUUUGAUUUUUUAUGAAUUUUAUUGAUAAAAUAUUUGAAAAGUGAAAAAUGAAUAAAAGAAGAAAAAAUAAAUAAAAGACAUGAAAUAAUAAAAUUAAAAAAAAGUCAGUUAAAUAUAAGGCUAAUGCGUAAACUAAUAAUUAUUAAAAUUAAUUUCAAAAAUAAAAUAAAUUAAAAAUAAUAUUCAUUUAAAAUUAUUAAAUUAAUUAAAAAUUGAAAAAUAAGAGAGUAAUUUUUUUAAAAAAAUAAAAUCAUAAUUUUUUUUUAAAAUAAUAAAACUACGGGAGUUGAAAAUAUAAGAUUAUGGAGAGUUGAAAAUGUAGGUUUAUGGACAUGGAUGGAUCUAUUAAGGGGCCAUGGGGCACGUGCCCUUCACAUAUUCGAUUUUUGUAUUUUAAUAUUAGUUUUGAAGUGUUAAAUUACAAUUACAAUAUAUAUUAAAUUAUGCGCUCUCUACGCUAUAUUCUGCCUUUGAUACAGUAGUCCUUCUUUGGAUACGUCAAUGUUUAUAGAGAGGUGAAGAGAGAUUGAGAAAGAGUGAGAUGGAUGAGGGGUUAUGAUAAACCUAAAACAAGAGUUAUAAUGACUUUUCCCCAUACAAAGUACGGUUAUGAUAACCGUGGAGUUACCAUUGUCUUAACCAAUGAAUACGUCACUGUUUAUAGAGAGUUGAAGAGAGGUUAAGAAAGAGAUAAAUGAUAAACCUAAUACGUCACUGUUUAUAAAGAGUUGAAGAGAGAUUAGAAAGAAAAAUGGAUGAUAAACCUAGAACAAGAGUUAUAAUGACAUUUCCCCAAACAAGAUUUUCCCAAACAAGAUACGAUUUAUCUAGAAUAAGAGUUAUAAUGACCUUUCUCCAUAGAUAUGAUUUAUAAAGAGUCGAAGAGAGGUUGAGAAAGAGAAAUGUUGAUAAGACCUUUUCCUAAACAGGAUAUGCUGAAAAAAGACGUGGAGUUACCAAAAGACGUGGAGUUACCAUAGCCCUAACCAAUAAUGAUAAGUUAGCAUAGUUCUAACUAGCCCUAACCAAUAAUGAGUGAAAAAAGACGUGGAGUUACCAUAGCCCUAACCAAUAAUGAUAACGGUAACUUAUCCCUAACUAACACUACCCCUUGUAUUUUGAAAUAUGUAAUAAUUUAAUCACUAAUGCGAGAUUAAAAAAUUUCUCUAAAACAUGGUAAGAACUAAUGCGAGAUUAAAAAAUUUAACAUGGUAAGAAAUUUCAUUAAAAUGAAAGUUCCAUUGGUAUCUAUAAAACUCAAUUUAAUGAAGCGAACCAUUGGUAUCUAUAAAAUUCAAUUAAAUGAAGCGAACCAAUUAUAUUUAUUCUGCCAUAGGUAUGGUGUUGAUAUAAUAGUCUAACUUUACAUUUUCAUUUUGAUUCUAAACUGGGUUGGAAAUGUCUCCCGAAUUUAUUUUAAACAAACCAUCCAAAAAUAUUCUCCAUAUAACUUCUCGUAGGAUCCCAAAGAUCUUUCAUCAUUGAGGACUUCCCUCCUUUUGCAUUCUCUAUUUUGUGUUCUUUAUAAAUAACUAAUUUUAGUCUCGUAGUCAAUUAGAAUCUUAAUAUGUACAUUUCACAUAUACACUCUUUUAAUUAAUUAAACUCAUGCAAAUCUAUAUAUACUAUGUAUUUUGAAAGGAUAGUAGACUUGACUGAUACGUCCAUGUCUUUUAUUUAUGAAGUAUCCGUAUAUUUCAGAACAUGCAUGCAAACAUUUCAGUUUUCAGAACAGUCCAUGUCAAAACUAAACCAAACUCUAAAGAGAUGGGAAAGCAAACGGUAAAAUAAGAAGAAAAAAAAACAAAAGACGUACUAUUUGUUCACGUUUUCCAUUUAUAGCAAAAUUCAUCAAAAGUUUAAGUUCAGAACUUAAACCCUGAAAUACAACCACAGCACAUGUGGCCAAGGUAAAAGAAAAGAAAAGAAAAGAAAAAGCAUAGGAAAUAAAAUUACAAAGCAACCUUAUUACAUUACAUAAGACGAAACCACGAGAACAGACAACAUGCAUGCACAUGCAUGCAAACAUUACAUUAAGAUCAGCCCUAAGUUCAAAGGGCGAGUUUAACGGUUCUUGUUUGUGAACUUGGACUCAUCGAUCUCGAUUCCUUCCUCCUCCACCCGCUCGCCACCGGACUUGUCCAUUGUGCUCAGCCCUCCUUUCCGGCCCAUCUCUUUGUAGCCUUCUUGGCCCAUUUGCUCCCUUCUUGCCUCUCCCCCUUGAUGCCCUAGCUCUUGAUACCCUUCAUGCCCCAGUUGCUCUUUCCUUGUUUGCCCGCCUUUGCUCCGGCCUUCACCAUGAUAAAGCAAUUAAUAAACUCGAUCAUAUUAUAAACAAAAAUUUACACAUGUAGUACUAAAGCUCACAAAGGAACCUUCGGCUAGGCGUUCUUGAGCAUCAAGGCUUUUGCCACCAGUUCCACCAGGAACCACAGUCUCACCCUGCUUAGCCUUAGCGUCCAGCGCCGAUCUUUGCUGUUGCGAUGCCAUUUUUACUCUCUUUGUUUAUUAUAUAUUAUGCAGUAAUGUUGUUGGAAUAAUGUAAAGGAGCAAUCAGUUUAUAUAAAAAGCAAAUUUUGGAAAGAAAGAAAGAAACAAAGAGGGGUUUGUAAAAUGGACACAUAAUAAGGCUAACGCGGCAAAUUGGGGUGCAAUAUCAGCAAUUUCUUGAUGACACCUCAUUAACAUUGUCCUCUUCAUGUUUUCUACUGACACGUGUUUGUUUAACUCAUCCCAUCAUUUAGCAAAUAGCAAUACCGCAACCGCUAUUUAGUUUACACUGAGUUAUGAAUGUUGCCUUUUCUUUUUCUAUAUUGCUUCAAAUUUAGUAUUGCAUUGUUUGUAAGGGUCGGCUAAAACAACUUAACAGAUGAAAAAUAAGAAACAUAAAUUUUACUAAGAUUAUAUCAUAAAAAGCAGAAAGAGCACUGCUGAUGAUUUAGCUUAACUAAAUGAAACCCUUCUCAUAAACAAUCAUCAUAUGUUCAUUGCAUUUUUAUAUAAACUUGUUCACACCAGAUUUCCGGAGAAAUUUAAUUCGUGGAGUUGAACUUGGGUUAAAGUUGUAUUUUUGUGAACUUGGGUUAAAGUUGUAUUUUUGUUGAUUUGAUGCGAUGCGGUUCAAUCUCUAGAAUUUGAUCAUCUGGUUAUCUCUUGACUAGAUGCUUAUGCUUGAUUUGGAGGAAGCGAAGCACAUGAUGUUCUUGAAGUUUGUUGAACGUUUAUGCUUGAUUUGGAGAAGCGGAGCACGUGAUGUUUUUCAAAUUGGUUGAAUGUCUACGCUUGAUUUGAGAAAGCGGAGCACGUGAUGUUCUUGAAGUUGAAGUCUUGGAAGAAAGUUUGUGUCUACAAAUGGAAGAAAGUUUGUAUCUUCAAAUGAGCUUCAAUCUUCGAGGAUGGGGAAGAAAGUUUAUAUCUUCAAAGGAGCUUCAAUCUUCGAGGAUGGUCGACUUCAACACUUAGAGAGUCUUCUAGUUAUUGGAAGAAUUCUAUCUAGACUUUCUGAAAGUAAAAAAUUUCCAACCCUGCAAAUGAGGAGAAUUCAUCUAUUUAUAGAGUUCACUUAUAGGCUAUAUGGGCUUAAACCUGGUUGGUCCAUAAAUCAGACCUAAGUGUUCAAUUACAUGGAUUUAUGUUAUAUUUAGUAUUUGGGCUCAAUUAAGCUCAUUUUUGGGUUUAAUUGAACUUAGUCUAAGUAAAUAAUAUUUAAUUGAACCAAAAUGAUUAACUUUAUCCAACGAUUAAGAUCAAAAUAUGUGGCAUUAUUAGAAUGAUCAAUUUAUGUUUUUCAAUUCUUUAAUUUGGGGCACAUGUCAAUUUUAAUUAGUCAUAAAUUUAAUUAUUUGUACUUUUCAUCGUUAACUUAAUGAUGUGGCAAUUAGAUAAUUUGUGAUUAGUCUCAAAAUUUAUUAUUCAACAACGUCACAUGUAUAUAUUCUACUUAUGAGCAAAUAUACUUGAGCUACCUUAGCUUCAAGUAUACAUUAUUAUUUUCUUUCUAUCUUUUUUACUUUUGUCACUAUUUUUUUAUUAAAAAAUUUUUAGUCUUUUUAUUCUCUCUAAGAAAUAGAAAAAAAGAAUGAGGCAUAAGAAAAAUUUUCAUUUUUUAUUAUCGUAAUUUUAUUACUUUUUAAAACUUAUUAUUAUUAUUAUUAUUAUUAUUUAUAUCAUAACUGUUUCUUUUCUCUUUUUUACUUCGAACUUUUUUUCAAAUAACAUGAUUUUUAAAAGAUAUAUAAAAAAUAAGUUAGAUGUAGGUGGGUCCACAACUUCCACCUACUAAGCCCCACAAUAUUUACAUUUUUUCUUUAUUUUAUAUAUAUAUAUAUAUAUAUAUAUAUAUAUAUAUAUAUAUAUAUUAUUUAUUCUUUUUCAUUCUUUAUAUAUUAUUUAUGGGUCUCAUAUCUUCUUGUUUUCCUCCAAUUUUUUUUUUAUAUAUAUAUAUAUUAAUUUUUCCAAUACUAAAAAUAUGUUUCUCUAUUAAAUUAAUUUUUUCUUUUUCUCUGAAAAACCAACAAAUUACCUAGAAAAACAGAAGUGUGAAAUUUAUACGAAUGACCCAAACUCUAGAGAGCAAAUGAAAUUCGUUAAACUUUUGUUUUAAAAAUAAGGUAUAUUUUUUACCCUUCACCAAUGUGACAUUCGGGUGAAAAUACAAAAGAAAAAAAAAAAAAAAAACCGUGCACACAUAAAGCCCAUCUCUCUUUUUUUCCUCACUUACCAAAUUACUCUUCCCUUACUCUUAUUUUUCUCAUUCACAUAUCACUCUACAUUCUCAAAGGUGAAGCUAAUGUGUGAUUUUCAUCCAAGUUCUGGUCAUGUUAGGAAUGGCCAUAUACACCUUAAGCCUAAGGACCACAAAGGCACAUGGGAGUAGCACAUUUUCACUUGUCCGACAUUGAAAAAUUAAGGAUUGAAUAUAAUGUGCAUAUAUAUAAUAUAUGUGAGACCACUUGUGGGGACUUCCAAAAGUUGAUAGGGUGAGAGCAAGGGGCCUUUUUCCACACACAUGUCAUCGAAAUUGGUUUGCCCAAAGGUGGUCCGUGGGAGUAGGAGUAUUUUUGACAAUUUUGUCAAAGAUAUGCUAGUUGUAGAAGAUAAAUCAAUGGUUUUGACAAAUUCUCAAGAAUAGAAGCCACACAAAUAUAUUUUGUUAAUAUACUAAUAAUAAAAGUAUAUUAAAACGUUUUUAAGUUGGGGCAUUUUUAAAACUUUUCUAAUUAUUACUGUUUUUUUAGUUACAAUACUUUAUUUUUUGAAAGCCACCAUUUUGACACAAUUUUUUUUAAAAAAGUUUUUUUUUUUGUUUUUGUUCUUUGUUCUUUUGUUUUCUUUUUCUUUGGUUUUUUCUGUUGUUUUGGAGGUAAAGUGGAAGACGAAAACCCUAAACCCUAAUUAACAACCUCAAUGCCAUUCCUAUAUAAAUAAACGUGGCCAUAGAAGAAUGUAACCCAAAUUUCUUCUCUUCUUUAUACUUCGAAGCGUUAUUGCCUUUGUGGUUCUUAGCUUCUAAACUUCAUUUCUUCAUCCUAAAUCAUUUGCUUCACAUACCUGACGCUCACGAACAAAUGUCGUCGGACGAUGAAAGCGAGGAGAUGGAGUUGGAUCUCUCCUCUCCGGGUGUUGUUACAAAGUACAAAAAUGCUGCUGAGAUCAUAAACAGUCACUAAUCUUUGUCUUUCCAUUGCAUGUCUAAUUGAGCUCGCGGCAUAGUUACUCUUCAAUUUUUUGUUAUAUGAAUUAUGACAUUGUUCUUUGUAACACAACAUUCAUGCCGAGGCAUUGCAGCUGGUGAUAUCCCAAUGUAAACCAAAAGCAAAAAUCGUUGACAUUUGCGAAAUAGGCGAUUCCUUCACUUGAGAGUAGGUUUUAACAUUGGAACUUCUAAGUUUUUCCUCCUUUUGUUUUGAUCGUAUUUUUAGUAAUCUUUUUUUUGCUUGUGAAGGCAAACAGUAAACAUAUACAAGAAUGUUAAGAAGAAGAUGAAACAGUGAUGGAAGAAGGAGAUAUACUCAAGAUGUAACCAAAUUAUACAUUGACUGGUUGCUGUUUUCUUGUGGCGUGUUUAAUGACAGUUGAUUGAUGAUGGAUUUUUCUUACGGUAGUGAUAUGGGCUGCCAUAUUGAUGGGUUUAUCGCUGUAGUUCUUCACACUCAUGUUCUGCAAGAAGGUCCAGUGACUGGAAGGGCAGCCGAUGUCAUUGCAGCUGCUAACACUGCUGCUGAAGUUACCUUAAUGCUUGUUAGGCCUGGGAAAAAGGUAAUAGUUCUUUAUACUAUUAUUUGGAACAUUUGUCUUUCGAUUUAAUUUCCAUUGAUCAAUGUGCACUUACUAGAGAUUAUGUUGAUUAAUUGUUUGUACUCUAAACUACUUUUUUUAAGCAUGGUUAUAUUGUGUAUCUCAGUCAUUUUGGUGCUUAAGUUAGGAACUUUGUCUUAAGCUGUGGUUUAGCAUAGUGUGAAGUUUUUGUCAUGGCUAUUCUUAUAAGGAAUAAAUACUUCUAUAUGGUAGGGACUUUUUCGAAGUUACACUUGUAAAUAUGAAGUCUUGGCUAGUUAUUUUCAAUUUUUGAGUAUGACAUUGUUAACUUGUUUAUGUUCUGGAUCCCAUGUGUGUUUGUUUAUCAUAAUUUGUAGGAUUCAGUUCCUCUGUUUCAUGCUGGUAUUUGUUUAUCAGAAUUUAUUAGAUUCAUCCCCUCAAGUCCUUUCUUUUGAAUCGUCUCGUCUAACCCAUGGGGAAGAGAUUGAUCAAACAUUUUAAUGGCAACUUUGCCGAGGUGAUCAGUUAUUUGUUGAUUACCUCUUUUCCCUGUUGCCUAUAUUGAAUUUGGUCUUGAUUGGGUCCUUGUAGGUGGACAUACUGUGUAUGGCUGAUGCCUAUGGUCUCAGUGAUCUAUAUUUUUCAGAGAAUUUUUUUAGUGCUAGUAUUUAUGCAGUUUACGCUAUAACUCAAGUUUUGAUGUUCUAACAAUACUAAAAUUUAAUUUUCUUUCUUUGAUGAAGCUCUGAAAUAAAUCAAUGGUGGUGUAACCAUGUAGAAUUGAUCUUGCUUGAAACACAAUCCUUUUAUUUGUUUUUGCUCACCAUGUCAGUUGAUGUGUACUCACUCAGUAUUGUGAAGUUUUCUUAUUGAUCGAUGGUUGAAGUGAAAGCAAUAGAAAGUAUAUUCCCUAUAGAAAUUAAGUGUAUUGGAGCAAUUAUAAUACACAAAAUUAUAAGGAAACUUUGCUGAGAUGAUUUAUUACUUGUGGAUUGCCUUUUUUUCCCUGUUGCCUAUACUGUUUAUGGUCAAAGUUGGGAUAUCAUAGGCCUACUUUCAUGGAUGAUGUCUAUGGUCUAACUUGUCCAAAUCAAUAAAUUAUAAAUUGAAGUUUGUUUGUUGAUGGUUGAAGUGAAGGCAUUUGGUAGUAUAUUCCCUGUAGCAUUAAAGUUAACUGAAGCAACUGAAAUGUACUGAAUUACAAGGCAACUUUGCCGAGGUGAUUUAUGAAUUGUGGAUUGCCUCUUUUCCCUGUUGCCUAUACUGUGUACGGUCAAAGUUGGGAUAUCAUAGGCUGAUUUUCAUGAAUGAUGUCUAUGAUCUCACUUGUCCAAAUCGAUAAAAUAUAAAUUGAAGUUUGUUUAUUGAUGGUUUAAGUGAAGGCAUUCAGAAGUAUAUUCCCUAUGGCAUUAAAGUUAAAUGAUGCAACUAAAAUAUACUGACUUAUUGGCAACUUUGCCGAGGUGAUUUAUGACUUGUGGAUUGCCUCUUUUCCCUGUUGCCUAUAUUGUGUAUGGUCAAAGUUGGGAUGCCGUAGACUGACUUUCUUGGAUGAUGUCUAUGUUCUCACUUGUCCAAAUUAAUAAGUUAUUCAUGACUAUCUGUUGUGGUCUUGCGAUAUUGUUAAAUAAUCCAUUUCUCAUAACUGGAUAAUGAAGGCUACUUUGCCGAGGUGAUUUGUGACUUGUGGGUUACCUCUUUUCCCUGUUGCCUAUAAUUGUGUACGGUUAAUUUGGGAUAUCAUAAGAUGACAUUUCAUGGAUGAUGUCUGGUCUCAAUUGCCCAAAUUAUAAUACAAAAUAUGUUGUCAUGAUAAUCUUAGUGAUAUCUAAUGAUAGUGGCUAGAGUUUACAUUAUCAACAAUCCAUUUUCUCAUAACCAGAUAACAAAGGCAACUUUGCCGAGGUGAUUUGUGACUUUGUGAAUUGCCUCUUUUCCCUGUUGCCUAUAAUGUGAUCGGUCAAAUUUGGUAUAUCAUAUUCAUGGCUGACUUUCCAUGGAUGAUGUCAGUCUCUAACCUCAUUUGUCCAAAUUGUUGUAAGGUAAUAUACAUCCUGAUGAUAUACUCAUGUGAUGUUUUAUAAUAGUGAACAGGGUUUAUACUAUUAAACAAUAAUUUUGUUAGUGCUUAAAAUAUUGUGUACAUAUUCGUUUUCUUUUAUUCCUUCAAUUUUGUGCUCACAACUCCUCAUUUUUGGCAAAUGGUAGUUGUUUCUUAUGUAUUCUAUCUCUGCAUUGUUGCUUAAGAGCCCUACAUGAUGAAAACUUUAUUAAAGCUAUGGAAUUUGUUCCAAAUGAGGCUUUUGUCAUAGUUACUCUGAUGGGGCAUGUUACUUUUUCAGAUAGUCUUGUUUUUUUUCCAUCAUUAUUGGCAUAAUAAGUCAGUGUAAUAUUGUUAGUCAUGAUUAGUACAUAAUUGGAUGUUUUACGGUUACAAAAUCCUAAUCACGGGUUUCUUUUGUUUUUUCCCCUUCUUUUAUCCUCUGAAUUCUUGAUGAUUUCUUUUUGGAAGUUUCUAUUAAUUAAAUCCUCUUGACUUCAGAAUAAAGAUGUAACAGAAGCCAUCCAAAAGGUUGCAGCUGCUUAUGAUUGCAAAGUUGUUGAAAGGGGUUCUUAGCCACCAGUUGAAGCAAUUUGUGAUUGAUGGAAACAAGGUUAUUCUUAGUGUUUCGAAUCCAGAAACAAGAGUCGAUGAUGCCGAGUUUGAAGAGAAUGAAAUUUAUGCAAUAGACAUAGUUACAAGUACGGGUGAAGGCAAGGUAAUAAGGCCUUUAAGCUGAAUAACCACUGUGACUUGAUUAAUUCUUUUUUUUCUAAAUCAUUCAAUACCAAUUGUUUUUGAACAAUGCAGCCUAAGUUGUUGGAUGAGAAGCAGACGACUAUAUAUAAGAGAGCUAUGGACAAGAGCUAUCACUUGAAGAUGAAAGCAUGUAGGUUAUUUUCAGUGAAAUAAGUAAGAAAUUUCCUGUUCUGCCUUUCACUGCUAGGUUGGUUGUGUUUCGACAAUGAAUUUUUUCGGGAGGCAUUUGCUUGCAAUUCUGAGGCACAGGUUUAGCAACUUAAUAGGGCUUUGGAAGAGAAAAGAGCUAGGCUGGGACUAGUCGAAUGUGUCAAUCGUGAUCUAUUACAACCGUAUCCCAUCCUCCAUGUGUUAAUUGUGAUCUAUUGCAACCAAGUUUUCUGGAUGAAUUUCAGGUAAGAAAGGCGACAACAAACUCAACAAUUCAACAGAGGUUGAGCCAAUGGAUUCGACAAGAACUGUGGGUGCAUCACAGGAAUGAGCUCUACCCCAUUUGGUCUCAUGGUCCUUUCAACCCAUCAUUUCAAUUUUGGCACUGUUUCCUUCCUUUUCUUGUAUGUUUGAUUGACUAGCCUUCAUGAGUAUGUUCUCUUUGACAUAAAAAAGAAUAACAUUUUUUUUUUAUUACUUCCCUCUCAUCUACAUAUUUUUAUUGGCAAAGUAUACAAUUUAGCUCGAUAAACAUGUCUACUUAUAAUAUUAUUCUAAAAGGGAAUUUUGAUACUUCAUUAAGAAACUUGUAUACUGUGGGAAAAUGAAUGAUUGUGAAUUGCUUACCUCAAAGUUGUGUUCUUUUCUGCAAUGAGUGUAAAUCUAGUUCUUAAAAUAAAAUAAAGGGUUCUUAACUAGGAUGACAUAAAAUAGUAUACUAUAUUCCAAUAUUAUUGAUCUAAAAUUUUUCAUUGAUUAAAAAGGAAAGUGAUCAUAAUUAAGAUUUGCAUAUUUAGUAGAUAUUAUAUAAGUACGGUAAUUGAUUAAUUUUAUUUUUUUUAGUGAUUUUGUUUAAGAUUUCUUUCCUAUCUCUAGUAUAUGUAACGUUGAGAACAGAAUAUGUUUGCGAUAGAAAUUUUUUUAUGAAAAAAUUGAAAAUAGAGAAAUUGUAUUGAAAAAACUGGUUUUGGAAUAGUAUAUACGAAAUAAUACAUUAAAUAGUAUAUAUAAAAUAUAUGUAUUAUGGUAAUAUAUAUGUAAUAAUUAAAAUAUAUGUAUUAUGUUAGUAUAUAUGUAAUAAUUAAAAAAGAUGUUACAUAAUAUGUGAUGAUAUAUAAAUUCAGUAAAAAAAAAUUAUAAUAUGUGUUAUAUAAAUUCAGUAAAAAAAAAUUCAUUACUAAAAAAAGAAAUUGUGGAUGUAUUAUCGAAUAUAUCUCGUAUAUAUAAAAUAUAAUCCAAAACAUAAAUGUAUUAUUCAGUAGCAUACGUGUAAAGAAAAAAAAAUGGAUAUAUAACCUUUGAAUAGGGUGGUAUAUCGAACAUGGUAUGAUAUAUAAUCAGUGUAUGAAGUGGUAUAUCGAAUAUGGUAUGAAGAUGAACUGAAAAAUAUAAAAAUAAACAAAAUAGAAGGAACAUGACCGAAAUAUAUGCAGUCGUUGGAAAAAAAGUCUGAAAAAAUGAAAUGUUGAAGUCGUUGUCGGUGACUGAUUUCAUUUUGAAGUCGUUGUCGGUGACUGAUUUCAUUUUGAAGUCGUUGUCGGCGACCGACGAAUAGAAGCACUAAGAUUAUUAACGUGAUGUGGAUAAUAUUAUAUACGGUUAUACUUAAUUAUUAAAUUAUUCGUAUUAUAAAAGAUUUUGUUUUACCCUUAAUUAAAAAACUAUUUCUAAUUUAUUUCUAUAAGAAAAUUAGAUAUUUAUAACAAAGUUAGAUAUUAAUUAAAUGUGAAUAAGAAAGUUAUUAUUUUAUAAUGUGAAUAUAAAAAUAAUUUAAAUUUAGUUUAAAAAAUUAUAUAUAAUUAAUAAUAAUAUGGUUAUAGUUGUUAAAAAAAUAUAUAGGAAAUUCUAAUAAAAAUAAAUUUUAGUUUAAGAUAUUUGUAAAAUUCUAUAUCAAGUCAGGUGAUUCGUCUCAUUUUUACUAAAAUAAAUGUUAAGAGAGCAAACCACAAAUUUUAGAAAAUAAGAAGUCAAACGAUAUUAUCAGAUGGAGGGUAAUAAUAUUAAAAAUUAAAAUUAGAACUUUGGAAAAUUAAUAAUGAAAAUUAUGACUUCGAAUCAAAUGCAGGAUAAUUACAUAUGUCUGUUUGAGUGUAGAAAAUCUAAAUUAGAUAUUUAUGACAAGGUUGGAACUUGAAUUUAUCAAUUUUCAUGAUAAUAAUUUUUUUUAAUAUUUAAUAACAGUAAUUUUGAUUACAAAAAACUUAGUAUUUUAGGAUAAUUUUAACCUUUAUUUAAUUAUUUAAAAAUAAUUAGUUUUGAAAAUCUUAAACAAUAUUUUUCUCAUUAUCAACAACCAAAUUUAUUAUAUUAAUUAUAACUUCUUUAAUUAUUAAUUCAUAUAUAUUUGUAUUUAUUAAUGUAUAUUUCCGCGUUGGAUUUCAUUUUCAAUCCCUAUACAAAUCGGUUUUUAUUCUUUCUUCUUCCCUUCCUAUUCGAUGAUUUUGAAUCGAUUAGUCUUUAUAUUUUUUCAUUUUUUUGGAACUUCUUAUAUUAUUUACUGUUAGUCUUUAUUUUUUUCGUUCAUUUGUCACAUAUUUGUGAGAAUUUAACUGUUUUGUUAAAAUUAUUUUGGUAGCAGUGAUUUAAGUUAAUUAUUUUAUAUAUUUUUUUCAAAAACUAAGAGGAGAAAAAAUUAUGGUGGUAAUCCAGAGAAUUUUGUGGAGAUAGAAAAUGAAAUAAGGAGGAGGAUGAAGAUGUGGAUGAUGAUACAGAAUUCAUCCCGGACCUCAUAAUUUCUUUAAUGUGAUGUUAUGCUAAUUUCUUUAAUGUGAGAAUUUCGACUUGAACUCAACUUCAAUAGAAGUCGGGAAUAAUAGAAAGAAGCUUGGAUUGGUUGAUUCAAUUAAAAAAGGGUGAAAAUUAACUAAAUUAUCUUUUUUAUUAUGAAUGUUUGAGUUUAAUGUCUAUUUCGAAAAUUCAUUUUAAAUGGUCCCUAAGAGUUCAUCGACCAAAAUAGAAGUUAGCGUUGUUGCCGUGUGUUACAAGUAAUUAGAAAAGAAAUCGUAUAUUUCCUCUCCUUAAACCUCACUUUCACUUCGUCUUCAUUUUUCUGGCAUUUUCUUUACUCUCUGCACAACCACACACCCCUCCUACCAGCCAAUUUUGAUCAAUAUAAAUUAUUCAAAUAAUACAAAUGUGAAACAUACUCUAAUUUUUACAACUCCAACUUCAUAUUGACAUAAACUAACCAGUCCUUAACUGCUUAUUAUUGAAACAAAAUUACAGAACCAAAUUACAUGAUAUUACUUAGAAAGGAUCAGAUGAUCGUUGUUUCUGAUUUCGUUUUCAUUCUUCCCAACCAAUGUCUCAUCCAAUUUUUUUCAUUUAUCCACCAGGCUACCAUAACUAUUUUGUAUUUGGUAACAAUAUUUCAAGUGCUUGGGCAUAUUCAACCCUUUGUUGAGAAAACAACAAACCCAUCUCUUUCAUAUCCCUCUGGGUUCGAAAACAUGCCACAAUAUAGUGGAAGACUUGAAUUUUUCUUUUACUUUUUGGCUUCUCUCAGUGGCGUCUUCUGAAAAAUGGGUUCAUUGCUAUUCUUAAAAACUUAAGAUUUUUUUCUUCUUUUUAGAAAAAUGAAGAAUAUUAAAAGAGUGCCCACGGCCAAAUGAGAUAAAGAGACCUGAGAUUGGUUCCUCCCCAAGUUAGUUUUAGUUCUAGAACUAGAGGACCAUAAACAAAGGAGUGAAAAUGAAGAAGAAAGUAUGGAGCUCUAUAUCAUAUUUUCUUAUUAAACACUUUUGGAUAAAAUUACGUAAAAGUUAAUAUUGAACUUACCAAAAAAAUUUUUGUGAUUGAGACAACAAAUUUUCUUUUAGUGAGCAUAAGUUGUUUGGCAUUAUGCUUUUGGUGUAUUAUUUCUUUGUCGUAUUACUUAUUUUCUUCAUAGUUUAAUAAUCCUCUCUUGGUAUGUUCUCUUUCAUUUUAAAAUUAUUUUGGUAUCUCUGACAAAUAUUUAUAUGAUUCGAUGGGACAAAUAAAUCUCAAUAAUAUAAAAAAUGAUUUCCUUUUUAAACUAAGUUUUUGAGACCCAAUCAAUGAUUUUUUAAAAUUUAUUUUUAUAAACGGUCGUUGUAUUCUAAAAAAACCAUGUUAAGUUUCAAAAACUGAAAGUAAUUUGCACAAAUUUGUUUUUGGGUUUAGAAUCUGAGAAUUCAAAUAUUUAUUUUACAAAGAUAAAAAAUUUAGUUAAAAAGAAUGGGAAUAACAAGAAUAUAUUUAAAAGAAGAAUAUUCUUCUAAAUACUAAAAUUAGUUAUCAAACCGGACAUAAGAGUUGGGGUGAAUUGUUUAGAUGAAAAACAAUAAAUAUAUGCCUUUAAAAUUGCGAGAUCUAUAAAUUAUAGUCAUUGUACCUACUAUAUUUCUACUAUAUUUUGUUCGAUUUAGAACUUAAAAAAUAAUUUGAUGAUGCACAUAAAUGGUGUUCGUGUAAACGACGUUAAAUCUGAAAUUGAGGUUGCUAAUUUGAUAAGUUUCAACAUAAACUAACCAUGUUGACACCAACCAAAAAAACAUUGAGAUAGGAAACCUAUCCCCAUGCUUUUUUGUCAACGCUCAUUGCUCGACGACAAAUACGUUCGACAACGAAAUUGAGGGAUAUCCCAACAGCUUUGGACAUCAAUAUUUUUUUUUUUUUUUUUUUUUGUAAUGUAACCCUCAAAAGUUUUCUAUCUUUCACUGUUAAUUAUCAUAAUAGGUUUAGGGUUUACAUUAGUUUCUAAAUUAAUAAAAAUUAUUUAAUUAUUGUAAUAAUAUAAAUAUUCUAAUUUUCAUUUAAUUAUUUUUGAAGUAUAAAUAAUUAUUACUAAAAAAAAUAAAUCGGUAGCUUUUAUCAUGGACUAGAUGAAUUACAACCGUAAUUUUCAUUCCAUCAUAUCAACUAUAAAAUUAAAUUAAAAAACCGAAUACAAAAUUUCCAUAUUAAUGUAAAUGGAUUAAGCAGAUGAAAUAAAUUGAACAAAAAAAGAAAUUAAAAAUUUUCAUAUUAAUAUAAACAAUUAUAAUAUUGAUUAAAAAAAGAAAAACUCUAAUAUGAAGUAAAGAGAAAGAGAUGGACAAGUGUUUAACACACGUCCACUAACAAAAGAAAAAAAAAAUAGACGGAAUGUUUAACACACAUCCACCAAUAAAAGAAAGAAAGAAUGGACGAGUUUACUCCACUAAUAAAAAUAAUUGGACGAGAAGUCGUUCAUUAAAAAGAACUGACGUAUGUUCAAAUACUUUAAAACAACAAUAUUUUACUAAUAAGUUUAAAUAACAACUAUACUUAGCGAAUUUUUUCUAAACUCUAAGUUCACAUGCGUUGUUGAUAUUUUCAAGAACUUUAUAGAUGGUAGUGAUAUUUUAAAAUAACUUUAUAGAUGGUAGUGGGAGCAACCUCCCCAAGAAUCAACCUUUACUAUAAUGUUAAUGUCAUAGUCUUGAUAAAAGUCCCCACGAAUGGAUCCUAUGGUUUUUUAAGCUUAUGGCUUCUUCCAGUUAUUUUGAUUCUAAUCAGGAUUGGGCCAAUAAAAUAUGAUACAACACCACAACUUAUAAUAAUAAUUAUUAUUGUUAUUACUUCUGUUGUUGUUGUUUUUGAAAAAGAACAAAACAUAAUAAAUCAAAGGAAGAAAAAUAUGUUAAGAAAAAGUAGAAAGAAAGGCACUGCAAGAUAAGGCUUACACAGGAGAAAGACUGAUACAUGUGUUUGUUUUGUUAUUUAUCAGUAUAGUUUUGGUAAUUUUUUGUGGUUGCUUUCGCAAAAAGUGCUUAUUUUGUUUUCCCAAUAAACUUAUCAUUCCCAAAACCAAAAACUCUAGGCGUGUUGUGUUUUGGCCCAUAAUUAUUUUCUCUCUUUACAUCACUUUUCUUUUUCUUUUUAAUCUCUCUAAAACCCUUGGAAAAAUAGGAUGAAUCGAAAUAUAGCUGCUACACCAAAACUAGGCGCAAAGAACCAACCAGACUGACCUAGUGGAUAAAUCAGGAAUACAGAAACAAAAACAGCAAUUGGGCCCGAGAAUGCGAUUGCAUUAUAAGGUCGCAAUUGAACAGAUCGAGCAAGUUCAAAUUGACGUAACAUGAAACCUAUUAGUCCGAAAGCACCGUGGAGAGCAACAAAAGUCCACAGACCACCUAAUUGACACCAACGAGUAAAAUCUCCUUGUGCUUCAGGGCCCCAUAGUAACAACAAAGAGUGGGCUAAACUAUUAGCAGGAGUCGAAACUGCGGCGGUUAAGAAGUUGCAUCCUUCCAAAUAGGAACUUGCCAAUCCAUGGGUAUACCAUGAAGUUACAAAGGUUGUACCUGUAAACCAACCUCCGACGGCAAAAUAGGCACAAGGAAAGAGCAAUAGACCGGACCAACCUACAAAAACGAAACGGUCCCUCCGUAACCAGUCAUCCAUAAUAUCGAAUAAAUCAUUUUCGUCUUUGGUAAAUUUACCAACGGCUAUAGUCAUAGUGAUCCUCCUAUUCAACUAACUUCAACCAUUUUCGAACACCUCAUUGCAUUUUCAGGGCCUUCGAGUCUAGCAUUUCUGUAUGAUUUCUACUGUCCCUUCUUUCUAAUGGGUUUCGAAUAUAAAAAUCAUUUUUUGAUUGAUCCAAUCCAUAACCUGACCUAGAUCAAUAUUAUAAACUCAAUACUGUAAAUUAAAGUAUCGUUCUCGUCUCCAUUCUUCGUCACAUUGUUGGAACAUAUAUUGAAUAUGUAUCAAUAUGGAAAUAUUUGGCACAUGGAGCCAUGAUCUGAUAUAUAAUUUAUCUUUUUUAUAUAGAUAGAAAAUAUCUUAUCUUAUCUUAUAGCGAUAGAAAUUUAUCUUAUCCUCUGUUAUCUUCAUCUUCUGUUUUGGAAUCAAAGAAAGAUAUUUUUAAACGGCUCAUAUGUUGUGACUUGGAAUAAACGUUUCUCUGUGGAGAAAGAGCAAUAGCAAUUUUUUCCUAUAGAACGUCUACAAACAAGAGGAUUUAAUCGGAAAUAUCGACAGAUUCCUGUGUGUGGAGUCCAAAUAAAUAUGAAAAUGAAAUAAAAAAGAUCCACUGUUCUAAUUUCAUCCUUAUCGAAUUUGAAUAUCAGAAUAGUGGAUAUAGUCAUGAUUCAACGGGUUAGGUCCACUUACUUUUUUUUUGUUGAUUUCGAAUCUUUAUAAUUGAUUGGAAUAAUGGAAAAUAGGAAUAUUUUGGAAUUCAAGGAAACAACUUAUCAUGAUUCAUUAGAAUCAUGAUAGAUUAUUUGAAUCUAUUCUAAGGAUUAGAAUAGAAUCUAGAAUUUUAUUCUAGAAUCAAAAUAAUAAAAAAAUGUGUCACUAUAGAAUUUCGAAUUUUUAGUUUCUAACUAUAAUUACUAUUAUAUUAUUCAUUAUAAUAAUAACUUGGUAUAAUUAAAGAUAACUUUUUUAUAAAAAAAUGAAAUUAAAAUUAUACGGUUUGUACUUUUUUUAUUACAAAAAAAAAAAUAUGUCGUCUAUUCUCCCCUCAAUCAAAUAUGAAUACUACGGCUGGAGUUUUAUGAAAAAAGCCAA